GGGGGGACCUUUAGACAUCCUAGAGUGUGUGGUGGAGCAAGCAAGGUGCUUUUACUCCCCCCAUCUCCGGGUGGGAGGUGAAUUCAUGUGAAUGCACCUCUGAGCCUUCACUGACCAAUGAUAACAACUGAACCUUCAGGGAAACUGAGGUAGGGGAUUCCAGUGGCAUGCUAUACCACAAGGGUGUGUGCUUGAAGAAUGCAAACCCACCUACCUUUGUCUACCUUCCAGGGGGUUCUGAGGAUUAAUUGGGAUUUACCUGUUGCAAGAGACAGAGGAGGAGAAAGACCUGGUUGAUCACAGGAUGACUAUGAGCCACCAAUGUGAUGCAGCUGUGAAAAAGGCUAAUGUAGUCCUAGGGAUGCAUCAGGGGAGGUAUUUCCAGAAGCGAUAGGGAGUGAAGUUCUGGAAGAGCCUUCUAAGAGGA